rnacentral:rRNA from 1 species
UGUUUCGGCUAGGGGGCCAUCCCGGCUUACCAACCCGAUGCAAACUGCGAAUACCGGAGAAUGUUAUCACGGGAGACACACGGCGGGUGCUAACGUCCGUCGUGAAGAGGGAAACAACCCAGACCGCCAGCUAAGGUCCCAAAGUCAUGGUUAAGUGGGAAACGAUGUGGGAAGGCCCAGACAGCCAGGAUGUUGGCUUAGAAGCAGCCAUCAUUUAAAGAAAGCGUAAUAGCUCACUGGUCGAGUCGGCCUGCGCGGAAGAUGUAACGGGGCUAAACCAUGCACCGAAGCUGCGGCAGCGACACUUUAGUGUUGUUGGGUAGGGGAGCGUUCUGUAAGCCGUUGAAGGUGUCCUGUGAGGGGUGCUGGAGGUAUCAGAAGUGCGAAUGCUGACAUAAGUAACGAUAAAGCGGGUGAAAAGCCCGCUCGCCGGAAGACCAAGGGUUCCUGUCCAACGUUAAUCGGGGCAGGGUGAGUCGACCCCUAAGGCGAGGCCGAAAGGCGUAGUCGAUGGGAAACGGGUUAAUAUUCCCGUACUUGGUGUUACUGCGAAGGGGGGACGGAGAAGGCUAUGUUGGCCGGGCGACGGUAGUCCCGGUUUAAGCGUGUAGGCUGGUUUUCCAGGCAAAUCCGGAAAAUCAAGGCUGAGGCGUGAUGACGAGGCACCACGGUGCUGAAGCAACAAAUGCCCUGCUUCCAGGAAAAGCCUCUAAGCAUCAGGUAACAUCAAAUCGUACCCCAAACCGACACAGGUGGUCAGGUAGAGAAUACCAAGGCGCUUGAGAGAACUCGGGUGAAGGAACUAGGCAAAAUGGUGCCGUAACUUCGGGAGAAGGCACGCUGACACGUAGGUGAAGUGAUUUACUCAUGGAGCUGAAGUCAGUCGAAGAUACCAGCUGGCUGCAACUGUUUAUUAAAAACACAGCACUGUGCAAACACGAAAGUGGACGUAUACGGUGUGACGCCUGCCCGGUGCCGGAAGGUUAAUUGAUGGGGUCAGCGCAAGCGAAGCUCCUGAUCGAAGCCCCGGUAAACGGCGGCCGUAACUAUAACGGUCCUAAGGUAGCGAAAUUCCUUGUCGGGUAAGUUCCGACCUGCACGAAUGGCGUAAUGAUGGCCAGGCUGUCUCCACCCGAGACUCAGUGAAAUUGAACUCGCUGUGAAGAUGCAGUGUACCCGCGGCAAGACGGAAAGACCCCGUGAACCUUUACUAUAGCUUGACACUGAACAUUGAGCCUUGAUGUGUAGGAUAGGUGGGAGGCUUUGAAGCGUGGACGCCAGUCUGCGUGGAGCCGACCUUGAAAUACCACCCUUUAAUGUUUGAUGUUCUAACGUGGACCCGUAAUCCGGGUUGCGGACAGUGUCUGGUGGGUAGUUUGACUGGGGCGGUCUCCUCCUAAAGAGUAACGGAGGAGCACGAAGGUUGGCUAAUCCUGGUCGGACAUCAGGAGGUUAGUGCAAUGGCAUAAGCCAGCUUGACUGCGAGCGUGACGGCGCGAGCAGGUGCGAAAGCAGGUCAUAGUGAUCCGGUGGUUCUGAAUGGAAGGGCCAUCGCUCAACGGAUAAAAGGUACUCCGGGGAUAACAGGCUGAUACCGCCCAAGAGUUCAUAUCGACGGCGGUGUUUGGCACCUCGAUGUCGGCUCAUCACAUCCUGGGGCUGAAGUAGGUCCCAAGGGUAUGGCUGUUCGCCAUUUAAAGUGGUACGCGAGCUGGGUUUAGAACGUCGUGAGACAGUUCGGUCCCUAUCUGCCGUGGGCGCUGGAAGACUGAGGGGGGCUGCUCCUAGUACGAGAGGACCGGAGUGGACGCAUCACUGGUGUUCGGGUUGUCAU